rnacentral:rRNA from 1 species
GGGCGAAAGCCCGANCCAGCCAUGCCGGGUGUGUGAAGAAGGUCUUCGGNUUGUAAAGCACUUUAAGUUGGGAGGAAGGGCAGUCAAUUAAUACUGUUGCUGUUUNGACAGUUCCGACAGAAUAAGCACCGGCUAACUUCUGUGCUAGCAGNCGCUGGUAAUACAGNGGGUGCAAGCGUUAAUCGGAAUUACCUGGGCGUAAAGCGCGCGUAGGUGGUUCGUUAAGUUGGGUGUGAAAUCCCCGGGCUCAACCUGGGAACUGCCUUCAAAACUGACGAGCUANAGUUUGGUNGAGGGUGGCGGAAUUUCCUGUGUNGCGGUGAAAUGCGNAGAUNUAGGAAGGAACACCAGNGGCGAAGGCGACCACCUGGACUGAUACUGACACUGAGGUGCGAAAGCG